rnacentral:rRNA from 1 species
UAUGCUUGUCCCGAAGCUUAAGCCAUGCAUGUCUAAGAACGAUAGUAGCUUGAUCUAGAAUCUGCGAACGGCUCCGUAUAUCUGUUUUAACCCCUCGCCGGCCAUUACUCCCGGAUAACCGCGGUAAUUCUGUGGCUAAUACGUGUAACCUACACCCCCCGUCGCUUCCCAGCUUCGGGGCGGGUCUUGCAGCCUGACCGGCGGACUGGGCAACCUUUCCUGCGUGAUUGCUAGCAAGGGCACCUGACCGGCUCGAAAGGGCCGGCUCGCGCGAUAGGCGCCAGACCUAUCAACUCGAUGGUCGGGUAAUCUCCGGCAAUGGUUUUAACGGGUACAGAGGAUCAGGGUUCGGUCCUGGAGAGGUAGCCUGAGAGAUCGCUACUACUUCUAAGGAAGGCAGCAGGCGCGCAACGUUCCCAAUGGGGAAACCCUGAGGACGUAAAGGGACAUACCAAUGGUCGCCCUAUAAAGGCGACCAAUUGGAAUGGGGGACCUUUAAACCCCACACCGAGUAACAAUUGGAGG